rnacentral:rRNA from 1 species
UGGGGAAUAUUGGGCAAUGGGCGCAAGCCUGACCCAGCAACGCCGCGUGAAGGAAGAAGGCUUUCGGGUUGUAAACUUCUUUUAAGAGGGAAGAGCAGAAGACUGUACCUCUAGAAUAAGCCACGGCUAACUACGUGCCAGCAGCCGCGGUAAUACGUAGGUGGCAAGCGUUGUCCGGAAUUACUGGGUGUAAAGGGAGCGCGGGCGGGGGAGCAAGUCAGCUGUGAAAUAUACGGGCUUAACUCGUAGACUGCAGUUGAAACUGUUCUUCUUGAGUGAAGUAGAGGUAGGCGGAAUUCCGAGUGUAGCGGUGAAAUGCGUAGAGAUUCGGAGGAACACCAGUGGCGAAGGCGGCCUACUGGGCUUUAACUGACGCUGAGGCUCGAAAGUGUGGGGAGCAAACAGGAUUAGAUACCCUGGUAGU